rnacentral:rRNA from 1 species
CCUACGGGAGGCUGCAGUGGGGAAUAUUGCACAAUGGGGGAAACCCUGAUGCAGCAACGCCGCGUGAAGGAAGACGGUUUUCGGAUUGUAAACUUCUGUUCUUAGUGAAGAAUAAUGACGGUAGCUAAGGAGCAAGCCACGGCUAACUACGUGCCAGCAGCCGCGGUAAUACGUAGGUGGCAAGCGUUGUCCGGAAUUACUGGGUGUAAAGGGAGCGCAGGCGGGAAGCCAAGUCAGCUGUGAAAACUACGGGCUUAACUUGUAGACUGCAGUUGAAACUGGUUUUCUUGAGUGAAGUAGAGGUUGGCGGAAUUUCGAGUGGAGCGGUGAAAUGCUGAGAUAUCACGCAGAACCCCGAGUGCGAAGGCAGCCUGCCAAGCCAUGACUGACGCUGAUGCACGAAAGCGUGGGGAUCAAACAGGAUUAGAUACCCCUGUAGUC